GGGUUAGUAGGUUGGUCAUGCCUCUGGUAUGUACUGGUCUCACUGAUUCCUCCUUCCUGAUGAGCCGUAAUGCCAUUAAUUUGGUGUUGCGGGGAAUUUGGACUUUUACUUUGAAUAAAUCAGAAAGCUUCAGUUGGGCCUUCGCUUGAAUGCUUCAGCAUGGAAUAAUAGAAUAGGACGUGCGUCUCUAUUUUGUUGGUUUCUAGGGACGCCGUA
rnacentral:rRNA from 1 species